GCGUGCGCCACCACGCCCGGCUUGGGUUGGUUUUUUUUGUUUGUUUGUUUGUUUGUUUUUUUGUUUUUUUUUGUUUUUUUUUUUUUUUUUUUUUUUUUAAACCCUAGAGGACAAAGUCUCUCUGUGCAGCUCUGACUGGCCUGACACCUGUUAUGUAGCCCAAGCUGCCUUUGAACUCACAGAGAGCUGUCUGCCUCAGCCUCUCAAUGCUGGGAUUGAAGGCGCACACCAUCAUUUUCCAACCUUCUCUCAAACUCUUACCCUUCCUGUUCUGGAAUUACAGGCAAACCUGAUGCUGAGUCCUCU
rnacentral:lncRNA from 1 species